UACGGAGGGGCUAGCGUUAUUCGGAAUUAUUGGGCGUAAAGGGCGCGUAGGCGGCCCGGUAAGUCAAAGGUGAAAUCCCUCGGCUCAACUGAGGAACUGCCUUUGAAACUGUCGGCUUGAGGCCGGGAGGGGUAGCGGAAUUCCCAGUGUAGCGGUGAAAUGCGUAGAUAUUGGGAGGAACACCGGUGGCGAAGGCGGCGUUCUGGACCGUGUAAC
rnacentral:rRNA from 1 species